AGAGGGCGCUGGAUUCAAGAUGGCGGCGCCUAGGAAGUGAAUUCCGCAGAAGCGGCGGGAAGGACAAGCGCCCGGCAGUUCCCACUGCUCCACCGCCACCGCUUGUGUCAAGCGGCGGUCUGAGCACCGGAACCGCUUUAGGAUUUCUUCCCCACCGCAAAGCUGAGAGAAGGAUGCUACCGUCUAACCUUGGCUCUCCCAGCCUCCACCUUCCUGCGCCGCUGCUCCUGCUCGUCUUCCAUCUCCACCUGGGCUCCCGGCGAGUCGCUCGGAGGUGACAGGGCGGCGGCGACACCGCCUUCGCUCUAUUUACACUCCCUCCCUUCACCCACUCGCCUCCCCACCCCCCAUACACACAACUGUCAGCUUCGCCCCGCCAAUCCGGAGCCCCGUGUGGCCUUGCGCACGCGCGCUCCGCUGACGCUCCAAGGGCGGAGAGCCAUCUCUCUGGUCCCCAAUUGGUACGCCGACGCUCUCCACCCUCUUCAUCCACGCCAAUGAGCGAGGCGCGGCGUUCCCGGGGCUCGCGGGCGUUCGUCGACUGGGCGGCGGGAAGGUUUGGACAAACCGUUUUCCCGAGGCGGUGCUACCUAUCGCCCUCUCCCGACAGGAGGAGGACUUACAUACCAGCGGCUCUCCAUGCCUCCGGUGCGCUCUGGGCACUCUCUCCCGCACUUUGCCAAAGUCGUUUUUUCUGUCGCGAUGUGUUUCUGCGAACACUGGGGCAUCCUCUAGGAUCCACCAGCCCCCACUUUUGGUUCUCAGGUGCAGUCAACUGGGAGUCCUGCUUCCCUUCUUUGACCACUUCGGCCCCUCCUGAACACGGUCCCCUGUCUUCAAUCCAAAUCCAAAGAACAGAGUAUAGCCAGAGUUACUCAUUGAAUGACACCUAAAACUUAGACCGCUGUCCCCAGUGGACCCCAGAGUUGCCACCCAGGGCCGUUUUGCAUUCACGCACACGCUUCAAUGUACAGAGUCGCUGUGUGUUCAGGCACCUGACUCUCACUCCAUCCAUCACCUCUACCAGGAAAGUCUUUCUGCCAUAAGGAAAUAAAGAAACUAUGGUCCAUUUGUAGUAAGAGGCGCGUUUAAAGCUCAUCGGUGGAUUACAGGAAAUUAGGAGGAUUGGGCCCUUGGAUUCCCUAGCCGGCAGCAGGUUCUUUCUUGCCUAACAUUUAUUAAUUUAUCAUUGGGUUGAAACGUUGCAGGCUGUUAACAUGACUAACAUAAAAGGAGAGGAUCUGAGCUCCAGGAUAUAUGUCAAGAGCUUUGCAUCCUGCACGGAUAGGAUAGGGAAGCUGGAGAGAGGGUAAUGCCUAUAAGAAUGAAUCCUCCUGAAGAACUCAGUAGUGUGGAAUUUGGGAACAGGGAAAUGCCGUAAGGGCUAUAAAACCUAUUUUAUACCAAAUCUGCAUGACAGCCGUUUUUGCCUUCUCUCUAGGCUGACACCCAACUUUACAAGAUCCAAAAAAUAAAUUGUUUCACUUUCAUGACUCAAAAGACUUCAAGCCUCUUAGGAAGUGUCUCUUGCACUGAUGAAAACACUGAGUGGGUGGGGGUCCCUCUGGACAGACCUAUCCUCUAGGAUAUGUUGGUCUCAGUCUUUGAGCCAUGCAAUAUUUAAGGAAUGUUUGAAGGGUGGUCGGUCAUAUUUUACAUAUCAAAACUUAAAGGACUGGAGAGAUCAGCAGUUAAGAGCAUUAGCUGCUCUUCCAGAGAACCCCCAGUUGAUUCGCAGUACCCAAUGGUGGCUCACAAUUGUUACUCCAGUUCAGAGGAUCUGAUGCACACCUCUGGCUUCUGAGGGCACCAAAAACUCAUGUGGCGCACAUUGGUACCCAUAAAAUAAUUUUUAAAGUAUAAAUAAAUACCUAAUAAUAUUUA